AUCAUCUUACAUUAUUGUGUUUUUAAGACCACGUGGGAUUGGAUCAUCUUGAUCUUGACCUUCUAUACAGCCAUCUUGGUCCCUUAUAAUGUCUCCUUCAAAACCAGGCAGAACAAUGUGGCCUGGCUGGUUGUAGAUAGCAUCGUGGAUGUUAUCUUUUUGGUGGACAUUGUGCUCAAUUUUCAUACCACCUUUGUUGGACCAGCAGGGGAGGUGAUUUCUGACCCCAAACUUAUCCGCAUGAACUACCUGAAGACGUGGUUUGUGAUUGACCUUCUGUCCUGUUUGCCAUAUGAUGUCAUCAACGCUUUUGAGAACGUGGAUGAGGUUAGUGCCUUUAUGGGUGAUCCAGGGAAGAUUGGUUUUGCUGAUCAGAUUCCACCACCACUGGAGGGGAGAGAGAGUCAGCAGCCUGUUCAGCUCUCUAAAAGUUGUCCGGCUGCUCCGUCUUGGGCGAGUGGCCCGUAAGCUGGACCACUACAUUGAAUAUGGAGCUGCUGUGCUGGUCCUGCUGGUGUGUGUGUUUGGGCUGGCGGCACACUGGAUGGCCUGCAUCUGGUACAGCAUUGGGGACUAUGAGAUCUUUGACGAGGACACCAAGACAAUCCGCAACAACAGCUGGCUGUACCAACUAGCGAUGGACAUUGGCACCCCUUACCAGUUUAAUGGGUCUGGCUCAGGGAAGUGGGAAGGUGGUCCCAGCAAGAAUUC
rnacentral:sRNA from 1 species